rnacentral:tRNA from 1 species
UCGUAUUGGCUAAGUGGUUAGAGAGUAGGUCUCGUAACCGAAAGGUUCCGGGAUCGAAUCCCGCUGGAGGCUGAA